rnacentral:rRNA from 1 species
GACGAGGGGUCCUAGCGUUGUUCGGAAUCACUGGGCGUAAAGCGUAUGUAGGCGGCUCUCUAAGUCGGUUGUGAAAGCCCAUGGCUUAACCAUGGAAUUGCGUUCGAAACUGGAGAGCUUGAGUGUGGGAGAGAUUGGUAGAAUACCUGGUGUAGUGGUGAAAUGCUUAGAUAUUACAUGGAAUACCAAUUGCGAAGGCAGGUUACUGCUAGUGGAUUGACGCUGAUGGACGAAAGCGUGGGGAGCGAACAGG